rnacentral:rRNA from 1 species
UACGAGGGGGGCAAGUGUUGUUCGGAAUCACUGGGCGUAAAGGGCGCGUAGGCGGCGUUUUAAGUCGGGGGUGAAAGCCUGUGGCUCAACCACAGAAUGGCCUUCGAUACUGGGACGCUUGAGUCUGGUAGAGGUUGGUGGAACUGCGAGUGUAGAGGUGAAAUUCGUAGAUAUUCGCAAGAACACCGGUGGCGAAGGCGGCCAACUGGACCAGCACUGACGCUGAGGCGCGAAAGCGUGGGGAGCAAACAGG